UCGCGACGCGGACCGGAGACGGGUCUUUCAGUUCGGCUAGAUACCACACAGGUGCUGCAUGGCUGUCGUCAGCUCGUGUCGUGAGAUGUUCGGUUAAGUCCGGCAACGAGCGCAACCCACACCCUUAGUUGCCAUCAUUUGGUUGGGCACUCUAGGGGAACUGCCCGUGAUAAGCGGGAGGAAGGUGUGGAUGACGUCAAGUCCUCAUGGCCCUUACGGGUUGGGCUACACACGUGCUACAAUGGCGAUG
rnacentral:rRNA from 1 species